GCGAGAAUCUAGUAAGCAAAAAGGUAAGUAUUAUUUUUGAUUUAAUAAGGUUGUACAGUACUAGAAAGGAAAUUAUGUAACUAAUUAAAACUAUAUGCAGGGUGAGUUAAUAAGCCUGUUAAAUGGGUACAAAUCUCGAAAUAUUUUAUUUUCUACGAUGAGCUCAAAAUGGUUUAAGUUUUUUAUUAUAUUUUUAUUUUAUUAUUUUAAUGAAAAUUAUAAAUAAUUAGGGUUAUUAAAGAGCAAUUGAAUUUCAAGGAAAAUAUAAAAAUUAAUUCAAAAAUCUUAACAAUUUCUCGAAUUAUUCUAACAUUCUACCAUUUUUAGUAAAGUAAAUAUACAUUUUCUGUCAACAUUUUUAAUUUCUACGAAUAUUUUUACUGAAAUGCAACUAUACAAUAAUUACAUUACGUAGUUUAAAAAAAAUAAAAAUAAAACAUCAUAGUAAAUCAAUAUAUUCCCAUAACUCUCAAAAUCUCAUUAUUUUAAACUCGGUGUGGAAUGUGUCAUUUUGUACAAUAAAAAUAAUGAACUGCACACAGUUAUUAGCAUAUAUGUUAUUAUCAAAUGCAUAUUAUAUCAAUGAAACUAAAACUGCAGUAUUGCCAACAAUAUACUCGACUGAAAUACUAUUAUAAAUCGUUGUAUAUAAAAACAGAAACAAUGUAUUUUCAUUGAAUUAGUUGCAUAGAUAAAUAAGUAAAAUAUAAAAUAAGCUGUGAUAUCUAAAUUUUUUUUUCUAGCGCCACAAACUAGUGGGACACAGGGUAAUUGAUUAUUUGUUUUUUAAUAUAUUAUGUAGUAUUAAAAAGAAAUUAUAUAACUAAUUAAAACUAUAUACAGGGUGAGUUAAUAAGCCUGUAAAAAUGGGUGCAAAUCACGCAAUAUUUUAAUUUCUACGAUAAGCUCAAAAAGGGUUUAAGUUUUUUAUUUUAUUUUUAUUUUUUUAUUUUAAUGUAAAUAAUAAAUGCUUAGGGUUAAUAAAACCAUUGAAUUUCAACCAAAUAAUGAAAAUUAAUUCAAAAAUCUUAAAAAUUACUCGAAUUAUUUUAACAUUCUACCAUUUUUAGUAAAGUAAAUAUACAUUUUCUGUCACCAUUUUUAAUUUCUACGAAUAUUUUUAAUGAAAUGCAACUAUACAAUAAUUACAUUACGUAGUUUAAAAAAAAUAAAAAAUAAAAUAUCAUAGUAAAUCAAUAUAUUCCCAUUACCCUAAGAAUCUUAUUAUUUUAGACUCUGUGUAGAAUGUGUCAUUUAGUACAAUUAAAAUAAUGAACUGCACACAGUUAUUAGCAUAUAUGUUAUUAUCAAAUGCAUAUUAUAUCAAUGAAUCUAAAACUGCAAUAUUGCCAACACUAUACUCGACUGUAAUACUAUUAUAAAUCGUUGUAUAUAAAAACAGAAACAAUAUAUUUUGUAUUAAAUUAAUUAUUUGUAUUAACUACAAUAUUUUGUGGUGGAUUUGCACCGUAGUUUAUAUUUUCAAACAUUGUUAUUUUAUCAGAUUACGUGUACCCACUUAAAAUAAGUUUGUUUAUAUAAACUUACCAUACAUCCGAGGUCGUUUUUUGCAUAAUAAACAUUUACACAAAAAAAGAAUGACUGAUUGUCAUGUUAAAGCACUUUACGCUUUUGAUUUGCAUGCUUUUGCUUGUUCGGUGAACAAUUCGUAACUUGCCAGUAUAUAUGUAUUAAAUUGAUAAGCUGUAUAGAUAAUAAACAAAAUGUAUAGUUAGUUGGGCUAUUCAAAAGUAAAGCAAUUUAUUUUUCUAUUAGGACCUAAUACGGCACAACGUAAGUGAUUUUUUUUUUUAAUUAUUCUAUGCAGUUAUAAAAACAAAAUAAAUAACUAAAUAAUACCUUAGACGAGGGUAUUCACUCUCGAAAACGGCGUGUUUUAUGCCUACUAAUCUCGCUAAAUUAAAUGUCGAUUAUUAGGUAACAAAUAAGUUAUUAUAUUUUUUUUUUUUUAACUUUACUACAUUUAGAAUAGGUUAAUAUAAAUUUUUUUCUGAAUUUCGUGUUCAUAAUAUCGAUAUGGAUAUUUUUAAUUGAAUUCCAACAAAUUAUUUUUAAAAAUGGCUUUUAUAAGGCUUAUAAAAAGGCAAUUAUAAGGUUUCUUUCUAAAUUUCUUAUAUAUACGAAUAUUUUUAACUGGAUUACAACUAAUAAUAAAAAUUGAAAAAAUAAUAAAAGCACAAAGGGAGUUCUAUUGAAGUUAUGAGUUUAAACCACCAAUGACGCAAGAGACGGAGGAGCACCACCACUUCAACAAUUACCCGUUCAGUCAUUCCUAUAUUGUACUUAUAGCUGAUAAAUACAGCUGAAUCUUAAUCCGGGUUUGGUGUCGCAACGACACUACAUAAUACUACGAUUAUAAAAUGAUACCGAGUUUAUGCAAAAAAUUAAUAAAAACUAAACCUGACCUAACGUAACCUAAUCCAAACACAAACUUCAAAGGACGUCCUAGUAUAACGGGGACUGAUAGUUAUUAUUUGUAGCCAUUAUUAUAGAUAAUUUAAUGUAUACCUCUAAGCAAUGAUAAACCAUUGCUUACAAAAAACAAUUCUGAGUGGAGUUUAGUUGAUAAUGAUAAUUUGUUAACAACCUAAACGAAGGCUAAUCAAAAAGUAUCAAGGCUUGUAGUAUCAUUGAGCAUCGAAGAGCAGUAGAAUUAAUGUUACUUACUUCUAUGACUUUUUGUGGGUACUUUUGUUUUUAUUGAUUCCCUAUAAAUUUGUUCGGUUUAAUUCCACCGAUAUUUUUGUAAAAAUAUUUUUGAGUUUGUGAUUUUGUAAUGAAUCUAAAAGAAAAGCAAUUUGAUAGUUUUGAAUAGUUGAUGGUGAUACUUUGUCAACAAUAUAUAUUAUGUCAUUUUAUAGUAAAAUAACUAAAUAUAUUUUAUGUAUUUUCCUUAAUAAUAAUUGUUUAAUUUUAUACUAAUUUUUCCAGUUUUUCUACGUUUUUCCCGUUUUUCCCAUGUUUCAUCCUGUGUUUUCAUAUUUUCUAGGAAAACUCAUGGGCAGAUCGAAAAAUUACCUUUCUAAUCAUUGAAAAUUGGAGCCAAAUUGUUUGUAGAAAUUUAUCUACAGGAAAAAAGAAGGCCGUAAUAUAUUUUAACCAAUACCUAAAUUUCUUACAUUUUUCCGUUUUUCCUCUGUUGUUUAUCGGUUUUUCAAAUCUGAUGAAAAAACUGUAAAACUCGAAAAUUGUCGACUCUAAAAUACAUCCAUAUUGAAAUUUAUUUUUAGAAAAGUUGCUUUCAUUAUAAAUCGGAACAAAAUUGCUUGUUGAAAAAAUAUCAUAAUAUUUUAUUAACAUAUUUCGUACAUUUUCCCGGUUUUCUUUUAAUACUCCCCCUUAAUACCUCCUCAUAGUGAUUUUCUUUCAGUAAAGAUGCUACACUUAAAAAUUUGAGCAUGUCUUCAAGUAAAAGAGUUGCGCAAAAAAAAAUAACAUAAAAAAUAAUAACAAUAAGAGUCCAACAGCCAUUUUAAAUUGUACUAAUCCNAUUUGCUUUCAUUAUAAAUUGGAACAAAAUUGCUGGUUGAAAAAAAAUCAUAAUUUUUUAUUAACAUAUUUCGUACAUUUUCCCGUUUUUCUGAUAACACUCCCCUUAAUACCUCCAUAAAGUGAUUUUCUUUCAGUAAAGAUGCUACACCUAAAAAUCUGAGCAAGUCUUCUAAUAAAAAAGUUGCGCACAAAACAAUAACAUAAAAAAUAAUAACAAUAAACAUCCAACGGCCAUUUUAAAUUGUACUAAUCCACAUAAAAACCGAUGUUACCAAAGGAUUUUAGAGAAUAACAUAAUUGUACAUGUAGAAAUUAAAGCGGCAUUGAAAUUAUUCGUCGGAUAUAAAAUUGUGAUACAUUAAAUAUAAAUAAACUCUGCAAAAGGGCUAUCUUCAAAUUUUUCGAAAAUAAUGCAAUUUUUACAAAAAAAAAACAAAAUUAAAUUCAAAUAUAGAUAUUCAUAAUUCUCAUCUCUGUGAGUAGCAUAAAAAUAAAAUUUGGUUAUAUUUUUAUCUUCAGAGAUAUUCAAAGGGUAUAUCUUCGUGGAACAGCCUGUAUAUAAGAGUAUGAUAUCUAGUAGAUUUCUUGUACACAGUAUAAUAAAAGAAAAAAAAGCAUCAAAGUAAAACCAAUACAUCCGUCAUUUAACUCAAUUUUUUUUUUUUUGAUUCUGAAUGGAAUUAACUUCUUAUACAGUAAAAAUUAUGAAAUACAUNUCAUGUUUGUUAUAAUCAAAUGCGUACUAUACCACAGUACUACAAUUUAGCCAACAUUGUAGUUUAGAAAAAUACUAUCCUGAAUCGUGGUAUCUGUACAUAGAGCCAGUAUAUUGUAUCAAAUUGAUUAGUUGCAUAGAUAAAUAACCAAAUUAUAAAAUAAGUUGCGAUAUUCAAAAUUAAAUUGAAUUUUUUAUUUUCUAGAGCCAGAAUCUAGUACGCAACAGAGUAAGUAAUUUUUUUUUUAAUAUUCUUCACAGUUUUAAAAAAAAAAAAUAGGUAACAAAAUAAAACUAUAUACAAAGUGAAUUACNAUAUUUAUAUCUAAUUUAUUAGUUGCAUAGAUAAAUAAGCAAAAUAUAAAAUUAGUUGCGAUAUUCAAAAUUAAAUUGAAUUUUUUAUUUUCUAGAGCCAGAAUCUAGUACACAACAGAGUAAGUGAUUUUUUUUUUAAUAUUCUUCACAGUUUUUCAGAAAAAAAAAUAGGUAACUAAAUAAAACUAUAUACAAAGUGAAUUACAAAGCCUGUCCUAUACGUACAAAUCUCGCAGUAUUCAAAUGUCUAUGAUUAGCUAAAAAAUAGCUUAAAUUAUUAUUUUUAAUCUCACCAUGUCCAGAAAUAUUUAAUGUAAAAUUUGUUAAAAUUUUAAGUCCAUAAAAUUGAUACGAAUAUUUAUAAUUUAAUAAGUUGUUUAUUAUUUUAACUUUUUCAAAACAUCAUAAGUUUAUAAAUAGAAAUAUGUAUUAUUUAUUAUUCUGUACUUUUUCCAAAAUAGCAAUAAUUUUCAGUGUCACUGGAAUAUACGAGUAGUAUAGAAUGUAUAAUAAUAUAAUUUUGGGUCCGCAAAAUUGUUUUUUACAAUACAUUUUUCAUUGGACAACCACAUCUACAUCUAUAAGUUUUAUCUAGCUAAUCGUCGGGGUAUUAAAUAUUUUAAUAAAUUGUUUAAUCNUUAUAACUAAAAAAAACAUUAAAUAUACAAUAAGCUAUGAUUUUUAAAUAUUCAUUCUAGGGAACAAAAGUAAGUGCAUUUUUUAAUAUUCCAUGUAGUUUUCAAUAUCCGUCUAAUUUUAAAACUUUAUACUAGGAAAGUUAAGUAUCAAUUUUUUUAGUAGAAGAGUAUAACUAAUAAAUUUAUAACUGGUUUGAUUUUUAUUUUGCGUUAAAAUUGGUUUCAUGCACUCAGCAAGAUUUAAAACUGGUUUAAACUUUAAAUAGGUUUUACACAUUAAACCAGAUUCUAAACUAGGAUUGACUCCAUACUCUAUCCUGUAUAAACAUUGAUUAUUUAGUUGCAUUUGAAUUAGUUCCCAAAAUGUUUUUUUGUAUCAAUUUCAAUUUUCCUUCUCAUUAUAUACAGAUUUAGAACCUUUAAAUUAAUAAUUUAAUAUAAUAUCAAGAGUCUCGUUCAAUAUUUUGGGUAACGUUAGUUCUAUGCUAUACUGACUAGCAUUCUAUUUCUAUAUGUUGAGCAUUUAUGAUUUCAAUAUCAAAUUUAAUCAACUCACAGUUAAUAGUUUUUGCUGGACGUUCAUGUAUUCAAAUAUUAUCAAGAGACAUAUUUUAUGGAAAUUAAGUUUCUAAUUUCCUAGAACGACAAAAUUCCGAAAAUUUAGGUUCUGUCUAAAUAAUUAGAAUACGAUAUCUUAGACUCAAGUUUCACUGAUUUAUGUAAUGCACUAAUGUUGCAUAGUCUGAAGUAAUGUUUGUUGUAAUUCAUAUUUAAUACUUAUUGUAAAUUGGACUCUCGCAUUUUUUAAAGUUGCGUGCAUUUUUAUGUGAAUUAUUGCUGUCCUAUUACAAUUUUUUUUUUCUCUAGGGAUAAGAUCUGAUGAUGGUAAGUGAUUUCUUUUUAAAUUCCAUGUAAUUUUCAGUAUUAUUCAUACUCUCGUUCUAUAAAAGAAAUUAUAUGAAACUCAGAAUAUAUUAUUAGAAACAAAAAUAAAUAACAAAGAUAAAAAUCAUAAUUUUUUAAAGUUGCGUGCAUUUUUAUGUGAAUUAUUGCUGUCCUAUUACAAUUUAGAAAAAAUUACACUCUUUUAAACUCUUUAAAUUUGUCGACGACUUGAUCACAAUCAUAUUUUCAUCAUCCCUAUUGAUUAUAAACGUAUUAAAAAUUAUUAUACCUUCUUCCCCAAUAAAAUUGAAAAGCAUAGCCGUCUUACCUAACUCAUGUUUUAGAAGCCUUUCUGGUUUGCUAAUAAAAAUAUUUUGAAUUUUAGAACCAAACUUUGUAGUUGUUAGCUAUAUUACCGUCAAAGUACUGCCUAGGCACCACAUGUUGUAUCGACAAUUUCGUCAUAUUGCAAUUCUUUUUAGUUAAUAUUAUAAUUUUAAAUCUAACACCAUGUUUUGUAUUUUAUUAAGUAGAAGAUGUACGUUCUCUUUAAGAACAGAUCCCUUUAUUUAUUGUGUAACAAAUACGACAUAACCAACAAAAGCAAGGCGGGAAUUUUUUGCACGUGGGUGAGCCAUUGUUGUAGAUGAUUUGUUGGGAAGGUAGAGAAGAAAUUUAAUGUAUAUCUAUACGCAGUGAUUAAUCAUUGUUAACGAAAAACAAUUCUGAGUGGUGUUCAGUUAAUUGUAUUGCUUUGUCAAUAAUAUACAAGUCACAUUAUGGUAAAAUAAUAACAAUAUGUGCAUUAAAAUUUUCUUUAAUAAUACUUGUUUGAUAUUGUAUUUAUUUUACCGUUUUUUUCCGGUGUUUCACAUUUAUUGGGAAAACUACUGGGCAAAUCUAUAAAUUAUGUCCUUAAAAUACUAUUAAGAUAAAAUUUCCUUUUAAAAAAUGUGCUACACUUGAUAUACCGGUGCAAGACUUCUGGUAGAAAAGAUUGACCCACAAAUUAAGGGGUAAUUUUCGAUUAAAAAAGUUCGAUCAAGCGCAAGCUUGGGUCUCUAAAUAUACCCGAAAUACCUUUGUCUUUUACCUAUUUAGGUAAAGGGGAAAAAACAAAUGCAAUCAAUUUUCUCGGAAUACGAGUAUAAACUCGUGAUCUCUAGGGUAACGAUAGGUAAACAGUAAACUACGAAAGUCAUAAUAUAAUAUUGACAAUAUUAAGUUAUUUAACAUAGCAUAUAGUAUCCACAUAAUAUCAGAACUUUAAAAAGUUAUAAUUUUGAAACUAGGUCAAUACGCUCAAUUCUGAAUUCACCAUCAAUACUAAAUUGGAAAAAUACGUAUGUUUAAAACGAACAAUUGAAAAAUUAGAUUUGUGCUAAAUAAUUUUUUACUUAAACGAUUUUCGUUAAAAUUUGAUAUAGAAAUUCCUAUAGUAACAAAAAAUAUUGCAAUAAACUCAAUCUUUUUUUGAUGACAAAGUAACUUUUAUUGACCCUCAUGUUAAAUAUUCAAGUCUCUCAAAACUACCAUCAGGACAAUGUUUUCUUUCGGAAAUGUUACCGCACGUAUAUAUCGGAGCAAAAUAUCUCGUAGAAUUUAUGUACGCAUUUAAAAAAUAAAUAAAUAAAUAUUAUAGUAAACCAAUACAUUCCUCAUUACAAUACUACAGUUUAGCUAACAGUAUACUCUACAAAUACUAUCCUGAACCGUAAAAUUUGCACACAGAGCCAAUAUUUUUGUAUCAAAUUAAUUAUUUGCAUAGACAAAUAAACAAAAUACAAAAUUAAUUGCGAUAUUAAAAAUUAAAUUGAGAUUAUUUUUUUCUGGUGCCAGACCCUAGUGAGCAAUCGGGUAAGUGAUUUUUUUUUUAUGUUCUAUGCAAAUUUAAAAAGUAAAUAGUUAAAUAAGGUACAGAUAUCACAAAAUGAAAAUGUCUAUAUACAGCUCAAAAAUGGCUUAAAGUUUUUUUAAACUUACCACGAAAAGAUAAAUAUAAAUUUUUUGUUCAAAUUUCAAUUCUCUGCGAAUAUUUUUAACUGAAUUACAAAAAAUAAAAAAUUAAGAUAGUAAGAGCAAUAAUUUAAUAAAGUUCACGUUUUUCUUAAGUUUUAUCUUAGUUUUUCCUAAACAUUAUAAAAUCCGCCUGGAAAAUCAAAAAUAACAUCAUAAUAAACCAAUACAUUUCUCAUUCCACUCUAAAUUUCAUGUUUUAGAUUUUAAGUCAAAUGAGUCUUUUGGUAGAGUAAAAAUAAUGAAAUCACAGUUAUUAUUAUUCAUGUUAUAAUCAAAGGCAUAUAAUACCGUUAAAACUAAUACUACAGUUUAGACAACAGAAUACUCUAGACAAAUACUAUCCUGAUUCGUGGUAUCUACACACAGUGCCAGUAUAUUGUAUUAAAUUAAUUAGUUGCAUUUAUAAAUAAGCAAAUAUAUAUUUAGGUGCGAUAUUUAAAAUUAAAUUAAAAUUGACUGUAAUAAAUAUGGUAUAAUAUAAAUGUAGUAAAUAGAAAUACAGCCUGUAUAUUAUUAACCAUUUUGUAUUAAAUUAUUUAGUCGGAAUGUUAAAUAACUAAAUUAACAAACAGUAAUUUUAUUUAAAAUAAUUUAAAUUUUCUUUUUCUAGCGAAUACUAGUAAAAAAUUCGAGAAUAUGCCACGUAAGUGAUUAUUUUUAUUAAUAUGACAUGCAUUUUUUAAAGUAAAUAGGUAACUGAAUAAAAACUAUAUACAGGGUGAUUCACUAAGCGAACUCUAUGAGUAGAUAUCUUGCAAAAUUAAAAUAUCUGUAAAUUGCUAAAAAAUUGUUAAAACUGUGUUUAAAAUUUCACCACAUCUAAAAAAUCUUCAUGUAAAUUUUUGUUUAAAUUUUAUGUCUAUAAAAUCGAUACAAAUAUUUUUUAUUUAAUUUUAACAAAAAUAUUAAAAUUUGUAUACAAAACUUAAAAAUUGAUCAAAUGAUAUGAAAAUUGUACAUGUUUAGAAUAAGUAAAUGUAAGUUUUCUGUUUAAAUUUAAAAUCUUUAAAGAUAUUUUUAACCAAAUUGGAAACAAUAACAAAUAGAUGUAUUUGUAUUUUUUACACCCCAAAUAAUUCUGAAACCAAGAUUUUUCUCUCUUUUUUCCAGUAAAUUUUUGCAAAAUAUACAAAAUCCAAACUAUCUACCUUAAAGUAUUUUCCAGUCAAAUUGGUUUUCAGAAAAAGUUCUACCAUUGUAAAUCCAAGUAAAACUACAUGUAAAAAGUAUUUAUAGAAAAAAAAAAAAGGUCAUAAAAUUUAACUAUACAUUCGUAAAUAUAAAUCAUAAUUUUAACCUCUACGUCAUAGUUUAGGGUUUUUUAAGUUUAAAAUGUAUGGAGUAGAACGAUUAUUUUCAUGUCUUAUUUUGUAUCAUACUUAGCUUAAUAAAAUUGCAGUCAGUCGAGAAGGUUUUUUACUAGGUAUGACUUAUAACAAUGAAUCUUCCACAUUUUAUCGAUCCUUUUUUUUCUAAUCUUUAUUAACUCUUUUCAUUUAUUAAGUUACAUUCUUACAAUUUAUCAGGUAUUAACCAAAGUGUUAGUAAAUGAGUAUAUUAGUUGUAUAGUUAGAUUAGGUAUAUUUUUAGUAUUUAUUCCUGUGAAUAAUGUAAAAAACAAAAUUGGUUAUCUUUAUUAUCGUUAGAGAUGUUAUAAUACAAUAACUAGGUAUAUCUUAGUGAGACUCUGUAUUAUUUAUAACCAGUGUAGACUAAAUGUUGAUUUAUUAAAACUAACAGGUCCACGUGAAGGACAAACAGUAACUGGUAAGUUUUUAUUUUUCUUUAAUACCGUGUUUUUUUCAAAGUUUGAUUAUAUUUUUUAGAUGCUGUUGUUGCGCAUGUCUUUAACACUUCAAGUAAAUUAUAACUAUAUAUUUUUAAGUAUAUUUUAUUUAACUGAUGAAAAUAAUUAAAUUUAAUCUCACAAUUCAAACCG
rnacentral:lncRNA from 1 species